ACAGAGAGAAAUUAUGAAGGGAGACAUAAAGGAAGUGAGGAGAGAGAUCUGCUGCACUGCUUUUUCACUCCUGAUGCUUCCCCUCUGCAGGGAGAGAAGACAAUACAGAGAUACCAAAGUGCUGCUCCAGCAACAAUGGAGUGCCAUCUUCUCUAUUCUGAAUGCUUGCAUGUGGUGCUGGGAUUGAACCCAGGGCCUCACUUAUAGAAAGUAUAUGCUCUACUUAUUGAAUGUGACUCUAUAGUCACCAAGUUGCAGAUGCUACCAUGACAUCAACCUGUCUUACCUGGGCAGAUGACUUCACCAAUGUGUCCUGGAGCCCCACCUCUUUUGAGCCCUAAACCACCAAGGAAAGUUAGAAACAGGCUGAGAGUAUGGAUCUAUCUGCCAACACCCAUGUUCAGCGAGAAGCAAUUACAGAAGCCAGACCUUCCAUCUUCUGCACUUCGUAAUGAUCCUGGGUCUAUACUCUCAAAAGGAUAAAGAAUAGGAAAAUUUCUAAUGGAGGGGAUGGGAUACAGAAUUCUGAUGAUGGGAAUUGUGUAGAAUUGUGCCCCUCUUAUCCUAUGGUCUUGUUGAUCAUUAUUACAUCAAUUAAAAAAAAAACCUCCAAAUUUAUGGGAAAUUGGUACCUAUAUUAAAAAUAAUGUUUUAAAAGAAAAUUGACUAAGCAAAAGUAAGAAUAUA